UACGGGGGGGGCAAGCGUUGUUCGGAAUUACGGGGCGUAAAGGGUUCGUAGGUGGCCAACUAAGUCGGACGUGAAAUCCCUCAGCUUAACUGGGGAACUGCGUCUGAUACUGGUUGGCUUGAGUGCAGGAGAGGAACGCGGAAUUCCAGGUGUAGCGGUGAAAUGCGUAGAUAUCUGGAGGAACACCGGUGGCGAAGGCGGCGUUCUGGACUGCAACUGACACUGAGGAACGAAAGCCAGGGGAGCAAACGGG
rnacentral:rRNA from 1 species